rnacentral:lncRNA from 1 species
ACCUGUCUCCUCAGCGUGGACCAGGCUGUCACCAUCAGUCCCAGGACAACCCUGUGGAGAAAGCUCAAGCCACAGACAUUAUGGCAAGUUCUUUUAUAUCUUUAAUUUUCUGUCAAGUUCCAACUAGCUUUGCUACAACAGCAUGAACAGAUCUGGAAUUAAAGUGGAUAUUGUUAUAUGCUGUCCUCCAAAUAUAAUUAAAUGGUUCUCUCUCUCUCUCUCUCUCUCUCUCUCUCUCUCUCUCUCUCUCUCUCUCUCUCUCUCUCUCUCUCUCCUCUCUCUCUCUUCACCCCCACAGUUUCAUAGGUGGAGCAAUGGUCUGUGGCUGUGUAUAUAAAUGUCACAAGUGCUCCCUCUAACGUCCCAGAUUCGUUGUUGUAAGCAGUUCCUGUCCAGAAAUCAGAGCAACCAGACUGUUCUCCUUUAGUAUAACCUGUUCCUUUUUCAUUGGUAGAUUUUUGGGGAGGGGCUAGACUUUUUUUUUUUUUUUUACUGGGUAGAUUUUAUUCUCUCCUUGUACAAAGGCUCCAUGGUGGCACAUGACUCCAUGAUGCCAAUCAUAGAAGCAGUUCUGAGGAUGGUAAACUGCUCACCU